UGAAGUUUCGCCAACAAAGGAGAGUCUUCGCCUAUAAGUCUCCUAGCUCGACGGUCAACGGCAUCCAGAGCCGCUAGUUGGUACUUAGCGGAGCCAUCGUAGAGGUGACUGCAGUACUCCAUGCACGACCUGACUUGUGCUUGAUACAAAGUAAUCAGUUGGCGCGGCGUGAAGUACUGCUUGACCUUGUUAAGAAUGCCUAGUUUUUUUGCGGCGGUCUUGGCUUUGGCUUCGAUGGAUCUUCCGAAGUUGAUGUUAGCCGAGACGUCGAGACCUAGGAGAUCGAUGUGGUCAGUGAUGUUAAUAGAUAUAUUCCGGAAAGUGGGAGUCAAGGUAAAAGGACUCCGUUUUGCUGUAAGUACCGUACCUACAUGUGGCAACUUUGCUACUCCUCGCUACAGGUCGUCGCGUUCAUGAAUUAACGCUGCUCCACAUUGACGCGGAACACUGUCAGGAGAGCAAAUCAUAUUCUGGCCCUCGUUUGGGUCAAAAACAGAUAAUGCAAAUUAUUGGCAAUCGGGUUGGUGCCUGUCAAAGAGCGAUAAAACUACGUUUGACCUCUGUUAUUGGAUACCAAAACUGAUAAACAAAUCAGAACAGCGGAGGAAAGCAGAUCCAUCUUUAACGAACUUAUUCAUCACUACUCGGAACAGAGUCAAAGCAGCAUCUAGAUCUGUAAUAGCAGGCUGGUUAAGACUAAUUCUGAAAGAUGCUAAAAUCAAGGGCUCUCCCGGCAGUUUCAGGUCAGCUGUUGCUACAGACAACUGGGUUAACAAGAACCUGGAUAUUGAUGAGGUGCUACGCAAAGGUAAUUGGCGUAGCAGCUCAACUUUCUUGAAACACUACUUUAAGUAAGUAGAGACUAGAACAAGAAAUGUUAUUGCAAAUCAUAAACAUACCUUACCGGCUUCACCUCACUUCGAUUCCUGAAAUUGGUACUGAAAUUAAAAUGGCCGACACCGCCUGCCUGUGCGCUGACCCCCCUCCACAAAUCACCGAGCCGACACGAAUCAAUGCUCGGGUUGUCUCGUUACGAACUACUAGAUGGCGCUGAUGUUCAAAGGGUUAUCUCACAGUGGGUCAAGCCUUUCGGCUGAAACCUAAAUAUACGUUUUUUACCCUUCGCGGGAAAAACGUUUCUAUUUUAUUAUUGAUAAUAAUUUACUAUAGGAUAGUGCAGAAUUAUUCUUGAAUUUUAGGGGAUAAAUAGGAUUCAGCUUAGGGAAUAAUAAUUUAUUGAUAAAAAUUUAUUAUAGGAUAGUUCAGAAUUUGUCAUAAGCUUUUUUUGGGGGAUAAAUAGGAUUUAUCUUAGGGAAUCAAAAGAUAUACAGGGAAAAACACGACUGAUAUUUAUUAUUUAUUAUGGAAAAGGUAAUAGGGUUUCUGAGGGGAUGAAUAUAAUAGAUGUAAAAUCACAAAAUCUAUGAAACGGCACAAUAGCUACAAGUUUGCCUACAUGAAAUAAAUAAUGUCUUUUUUUAAUGUGAGGAUAAGUUUUUAUAAAGAUACUGAUCUGAUUGAAAAGAGACUGAUGAGAAUUUAUUAUAGGAUAGUAUUCAAUUUGUCAUUAAGAUUUUGAGAGUAUAAGAUUGAGCUUAAAAAGAGUAGAAGAAGUAUUUUGCCAUUUAUAAUGAGUCUCAGAGUAGUACAAAUUAGUUCAUAAUUUAGUUAUAAAUCUUCAAAAAACUACUAGCGUUUUUAAAAAAGUUUUCUAUCGUAAUGUAUCCGUCAAGUAUCCGUCCAUGGGAAUUGAGGCUUUGAUGAAGUUAAAGUCGCAUUUACUUGGGUUUUUGCCGUAUUUUGUGUAAUCUUGCGCAAAUUGUACGUUUAGCGGCCAUUAUACCCUAUCCACGGAAAUAAGUUAGAAUAGUGCUCUCUCUGUUACGUAAUCCCAUACAAAUGAUAGAGACAAAAAUCUCAGUGGUCGUUACCCAUUUUGACUCACCAACCAAUCACAAAUGAAACUGUUUUCUAGUUGAAUUUCGAAUGUUUAAAAAAAAAAAAUAAAAAAAAAAUUGAAUUUGUAGUGUUUUUGGAAAUAUGUUUGUGAUUGGUCGGUGACUCAAGAUGGUUAACGCCCAUUGAGGUUUUUGGCGCAUUUGUAUGGGAUUAGUAACAGAGAGAGCGGUAUAUUAACUUCUUUCCGCGAAAAGAGUAUGAGUAUGGGAAUAAAUGUGGGGGUAAUGGUUUUAAGGGCAAAAUUGGUUUGAAAAUGGGUUAAGAUUCGGUUUUAAAUCUGAUAAAUAACAGCCAUUUUGGUUGAUAUUUCAGAAGUGUGAUGAACUUCUAAAAUGACUGUUGUUUACUGGCCAUCUUUUGCAAAUGUGGAUUUUUUCAUAGUUAUUAUUUGCAAAUGAUGGACAGACAUACUUUGGUCAUAGGUCAUACAUCAUGAAUGAUUAGGCUGAAAAUACAAAAUUAAAAAAAAAAAAAGUUAAAUCAUGAUGCUACCUAACAGACUUAGUUAUAUUUUACUGUAGAAAGUUUACUCCGAAAAUACAAAAAAGGAGUAGAAUUUGUGCAGUAACAUAAAAGUAUAAUGAUUAUGAAAUAAUAAUAAAUGAUAUGGAAUUAAAAAUGAUAAUGCUAAUAAAAUAGGAGUGGCAGUGCGUGUUCGUGUUAUAUAGAGGGAUAAGUUGAGGUUACAGCAGAACUGUUACGUUUAGCAGUCAACAGGUCAACACAGCGAAUACCUUGGGCAUCCUACGCUAAGUCGAUAUUAUUGUCCGUUUAUAUAUUCUUUUAUACUAAUUUUUGCAUACAAGCCGAUAUAUCACCAUUUUUUCGAUACUAUGCAUUCAUAUAUAUAGUAAAGUCAUAGAACAGUAUAGAGAUUACGCUGAUUCAUUUUUAUAUUAUUAUUACCUACACAUUUUUUGAUUUAUUGGUACAGUAAGCCGGAAUUCACAGUUCGAUUGAGAUUUGACACUUGUAUAAAUAAAUUUUUGCGAUAAUGAAUUCAAACUUUCAAGACUUGACGUUUGAUUUCAUUUUAUUACUUUUCAUUUUUUUUUUUUUGAGUUCAUUUCUUUUUUUUACAUCUAGUGGUUUUCCUUUUUACUCUCCUGGUACUUCUGUUCUAUUCGAUAGCUAUUGUUUCCAUACCUACACAGAGAAACACUUUACAGAGUAAUGAGUAGUUAAGCUAUAUUACUUUGGCCCAUUAUUAACGUAGUUGAAAAUUGUUCGGUCGCUAAUUUUGAUAUUAGUCUUUAAAAAAUAAUUUGUUUCGUAAAAAAAAAUGGACGAAAUUGGCAACCGAACAAAACUGUUAUAGAUUUUAUCUUUUCUAAAACUUAAUAAUAACAACUCGGUUUCAUGACAUCCUAUUCUAUUAUCUUUGUAUUUUCAGCUCAGCUCAACUUAACUUUUCAGUCUACAGCUAUCACUGUCUUGUAAUACUUGUCUUUCUGUACGGAUGUCGUGAUGCCGGGCUGACCCGGUUAGAUACACUAGGUAGUCUAAACAUCGCGAGUAACGACCAUUGCAUGCUCGAGUACCGAUACAGUCUGACGCUUCCCAAAUGUUGAUCACUUAUUUAUUUAUGAUUUAAUGAAUCCCCGAGUUGACUGUACCGCCCCAGCUCCCACCCAUUGGCAUGCGAUUGAUGUAGGCUGUGACGAUGUUACUUAUCCCUCAUUACGAACCCUCAAACAGUCACUGUGACUAGACCCCCGAUAGAUCGAUAGAUAUAUCACUCAACACAACAUCGCGAUAUUAAUAUGACUGUUUCUUUUUCUCUCUAUCUUUUAUUUAGUCAUACUGACUGUUUGAUUUGUUUUUUUAUUUACUAUUUUUGUCUGUUUUUUAUUUUACUUUGUUAAGAAUAGUGUUUUUUUUUGCUUGUGAAACGCCAACCCGAUACAUCCUCGCUACUGAUCCAAAGCAACCCGAGCUCUGUUUGAAUGAUUGAGACGCCGUCUGCACCCGCAGCCGCGGCGCAACUAACCGUAACAUGCGUCGCGACGCAUAGUGCAUACCGAUCGAUACAAGCAGUAACGUGUUCAUUUCGAUUUCAUUAUUUUCAUGUAUUAUUUUUGUAUGCCGGAUUGUGUUCAGUUACUGCUGUUAAAGAAACGAUCAAUUUGAGUGUGGAGUGGAUUUUUCUUGAUAAAAAAAAUAGUCGUACACUAUUGUAGAGCAUGCCGUGAGCGCUCGCGUACUAACAAGUUAACCGUCUCGGUCGACCCGUCUCUUUCCUUUGCCGUUGUAUUGUCAAUGUUUUAUGUGUUUUUUAAUGUUUUUGUUAUGUUUGUUUUUUUUUUGUUUGUGAAUGUUGUCCCUUAGAGCCGUUUCCGGGGGCUGUUGUCAGUCAGGGGCGUAAGCGUCAAACUGGGCAGCGAAGAGUUUUACUGUCUGUAGUUUUGCCUUGCCUUGCCGUUGGAAAAUUGCCUUCAUUGUGUUAUUUUGCGUAUUUUGUUAGGCUUGUUGUAGUGUCCGUAUGUAAUAUGUAUUAUAGUGGAACAUCUAGGGGUGGCGGUUGGCGGUGAGUAUAACGUAGAUCAUAACACGUUCCCGAUUUAAUUAAACUGAAUAACUAAACCAGUGAUUUUGUUUAGCUUCCUAACUUUCACGAUACUAUAAUUGCGGUCUUGCCAAAAUGUAUUCAAAGUUGACCUCCAAGUUUUGGGUAACGGAACCACGAUUUUGGUAAAACUCAGUUAUACGAUCGUCGAGACCUCGUAGGCCCGGUAUAAUCGUUCCUCCU